rnacentral:rRNA from 1 species
CGACGAGUUUGAUCAUGGCUCAGAUUGAACGCUGGCGGCAUGCCUUACACAUGCAAGUCGAACGGCAGCGACGGGAGCAAUCCUGGGUGGCGAGUGGACGGAACGGGUGAGUAAUAUAUCGGAACGUCGCCCAGUAGGUGGGGGACUAACCCGGCGAAAGUCGGACUAAUACCGCAUACGACCUACGGGUGAAAGCGGGGGAUCGCAAGACCUCGCGCUAUCGGAGCGGCCGAUAUCAGAUUAGCUUGUUGGUGGGGUAAAAGCCUACCAAGGCGACGAUCUGUAGCUGGUCUGAGAGGACGACCAGCCACACUGGGACUGAGACACGGCCCAGACUCCUACGGGAGGCAGCAGUGGGGAAUUUUGGACAAUGGGCGCAAGCCUGAUCCAGCCAUGCCGCGUGCGGGAAGAAGGCCUUCGGGUUGUAAACCGCUUUUGUCAGGGAAGAAACGGUUUGAGCUAAUACCUCGAACUAAUGACGGUACCUGAAGAAUAAGCACCGGCUAACUACGUG